AGAGUUUGCUCCUGGCUCAGGACGAACGCUGGCGGCGUGCCUAACACAUGCAAGUCGAGGGGAAAAUCACUUUCGGGUGAUGAGUAUACUGGCGGACGGGUGAGUAACGCGUAGGUGACCUACCCUUAUGUUUGGGAUAACCUUGCGAAAGCGGGGCUAAUACCGGAUGUGGUUCUCAUGGUGCCUGCCAUGGGGAUUAAAGUUGUCUGGGGUGACCCGGGUAACGCAUAAGGAUGGGCCUGCGUUCCAUUAGCUAGUUGGUGAGGUAAGGGCUCACCAAGGCGACGAUGGAUAGCUGGUCUGAGAGGACGACCAGCCACACUGGGACUGAGAUACGGCCCAGACUCCUACGGGAGGCAGCAGUGGGGAAUAUUGCGCAAUGCCCGCAAGGGUGACGCAGCGACCCCGCGUGGGUGAAGAAGCUCUACGGAGUGUAAAGCCCUGUCAGAGGGGAAGAACGGCCUGGAUUCGUAAGGGUUCAGGUGUGACGGUACCCUCAGAGGAAGCUCCGGCUAACUCCGUGCCAGCAGCCGCGGUAAUACGGGGGGAGCAAGCGUUGUCCGGAAUCACUGGGCGUAAAGGGCGUGUAGGCGGGCGACCGAGUCAGAUGUAAAAGGCGACGGCUUAGCCGUAGUAUGUCAUCUGAUACUGGUUGUCUUGAGUUCGAGAGAGGGUGGUGGAAUUCCCGGUGUAGCGGUGAAAUGCGUAGAUAUCGGGAAGAACACCGGAAGCGAAGGCGGCCACCUGGAUCGAUACUGACGCCGAGGCGCGAAAGCGUGGGGAGCAAACAAGAUUAGAUACCCUGGUAGUCCACGCUGUAAACG
rnacentral:rRNA from 1 species